rnacentral:lncRNA from 1 species
AUGGAUUCUUCUCUUGUUAAGUUUGAUAAGCUAUUACUCCCCCCACCACAUAAUGAGAGAGAUAGGAUGACAAUUGACACUACAAGAAAACAUGACAUUAUUGAGGGCCAAAAGCCUCCAAGAAGGGCUAAAAUUCGUCAAAAACGCACACAUUCUUGGCGGCUUUGGACCCUCGAUAAAACAACCUUCGUCAGUAGUGAUUCUUGGCGGCCCAGGACCCUCAAUAACAUUAUUGGCGGCCUGUAGCCCUUAAUAAUACUUGGUCAGCUGUCUCGACAUUAUUGACGGCCUGCAGCCCUCAAUAAUGUGUCUUUAAUUAAAAAAAAAAAAAAUUAUUUAAUUAUUUAAAAAUCAGAAUGUAUUAUUUUUUUUAUAUAAUCUGAUUUUUAAUUAAUUAAAUAUAUCUACAAUAAAAACAAAAUUCUCUACUCUUUAAUUUUAACUGUAUGAGUUUCCUUAAAACAAACAUUUAUCCAUUAUUUAAACCUAAUAUAUUUUUUUCGUCCAAAAAAAAACUAAUAUUUUUUUACAUAGAUAUUUUUUUGCUGGUGAGGAGGAGGAAAGAAAAAAAAAACAAAAAGAAAAGAGAUGCAUGUUCCUGGUCUUCUUCCUCAGCGGGAUGUGCCAAUAAGCAUACAAAAAUUCUAGCUCCAUAGUUAUCUUCAAUAGAUCCAGGAAGACAAAAAUUUACCCAAAAAUUUAUUAUAUAUUUUUUAUUUAAAAAAUUUACCCAGAAAUCUUCAUCUUCAACCUUCAAAUCAAUCUAGAAAUCCGUAUUAAUGUCAAGAUCCCGAAAUUUUAGUGUUGUUGCACCGAUGAGAAGAGAAAGGGAGAGAAAUUUUAGUGUUCAGAUCUGAAAUUUUAGAGAUAGAAAGUGAUGUUGUUGUGCUGAUGAGAAGAGAAAGGGAGAGAAAUAAUAGUGUUCAGAUCCGAAAUUUGAUCGAAAGUGAUGUUGCGCUGAUGAGAAGAGAAAGGAUUUUUUUUUUUCUUUUCGCAUAGUGAUGUUGCUGGUUUUGAAGUUUUUGAUCUUUCUAAGAGAAGAAGAGAAAACUAAGAUUAAGAUAUUAUGCUUUAGUGAGAAGUUUUAUUUGAGUGAUGAUGCUUUUUGUGAGAAGAGAAAACUAAGAGAAGUUUUUUUCGGUCAUGAGUGAUGUCCAGCUUGGUGAAUGAAUGUUUUUGGCUGUGAACCAUGAUGCACGUAUAUCAGUAAUAUAUUAUUGGCGGCUCUGGACCCUCAAUAACGCUUAUCAGUCAUAUAUUCUUGUCGGCCCAUAGCCCUCAAUAACGCGUUUGUCAGAUUUUGAAAAAUUGUGUCACUUCUUGGCAGCUCAAAGCCCUCAAUAAUACAUCUUUAUAAAAAUUGUGCUACUUUUUGGCGGCCUAGGGCCCUCAAUAACGUAUUUUGUAACUUAUUGAGGGCUUAAAGCCCUCAAUAAGUCCUCAAUAAAUUAUUGAGGGCUUUGAGCACUCA